UGGGGAAUAUUGCACAAUGGAGGGAACUCUGAUGCAGCGACGCCGCGUGAGUGAUGAAGGAAUUCGUUUCGUAAAACUCAGUUCUAUGGGAAGAAAAGGACUGUACCAUAGGAGAAAGCUCCGGCUAAAUACGUGCCAGCAGCCGCGGUAAUACGUAUGGAGCGAGCGUUGUCCGGAAUUAUUGGGCGUAAAGCGUGCGCAGGCGGCUUUACAAGUUGGAUGUGAAAUAUUGUGGCUCAACCACAAACGUGCAUCCAAAACUGCAAAGCUUGAGUUAAGGAGAGGUAAGUGGAAGUCCUGGUGUAGCGGUGGAAUGCGUAGAUAUCAGGAGGAAUACCGGUGGCGAAGGCGACUUACUGGAAUUAAACUGACGCUAAGGCACGAAAGCGUGGGGAGCAAACAGG
rnacentral:rRNA from 1 species